UACCAGCACCCCGAGUGGUCGGGACGUUUAUUGGGCCUAAAGCAUCCGUAGCCGGUUCUGCAAGUCUUCCGUUAAAUCCACCUGCUUAACAGAUGGGCCGCGGAAGAUACUAUAGAGCUAGGAGGCGGGAGAGGCAAGCGGUACUCGAUGGGUAGGGGUAAAAUCCGUUGAUCCAAUGAAGACCACCAGUGGCGAAGGCGGCUUGCCAGAACGCGCUCGACGGUGAGGGAUGAAAGCUGGGGGAGCAAACCGG
rnacentral:rRNA from 1 species